UGGACUGUGAACUUCCAAUUGCUUUCUGACUCCACCAACACGCGAUCGCCAAAAUAAUCACCGUCAGCUAGCAUAUCCAAUAGAGGCUGCUCGUCAUACUUGCCAAUAGCAAUCUUGUUUACCUUGCCAUGUGCGAUCAAGAAAAGCUGAUUGGCUGGCUGACCUGACUGGACUAUGAUAUCACCAGGUGCGAACUCCUGCUGAACAAACCGACUUGCCAACGCCCUUAGCACCUCGGUAUCGUCAAAUCCUCGCAGCAAGGGCAACUCACCAAGUUCUUGGGGAAUCACCUGCACCUCGGCUCCGGUGUUGGAGAAACUCAACCGCCCAUCACCCACGGUAUAGGUCAACCGACGGUUCAGCCGAUAAGUGCCACCCUUCGUCUGCACCCACGGCAACAUCUUCAACAACCACCGUGAGGUAAUUUCCUGCGUCUGCGGUGCAGAUUUGGUGGUCGUGGACAAAUUACGCGCAGCAUCUUUACUCAAACUCAGUUGUUGAGGUUGUC
rfam:Nostoc punctiforme PCC 73102, complete genome.